rnacentral:misc_RNA from 1 species
GAUGAAGAACGUAGCGAAAUGCGAUAAGUAAUGUGAAUUGCAGAAUUCAGUGAAUCAUCGAAUCUUUGAACGCACAUUGCGCCCGCCAGUAUUCUGGCGGGCAUGCCUGUUCGAGCGUCAUUACAACCCUCAGCCCCCCGGGCCUGGCGUUGGGGAUCGGCGGAGCCCCCCGUGGGCACACGCCGUCCCCCAAAUGCAGUGGCGGUCCCGCCGCAGCUUCCAUCGCGUAGUAGCUAACACCUCGCGACUGGAGAGCGGCGCGGCCACGCCGUAAAACACCCAACUCUUCUGAAGUUGACCUCGAAUCAGGUAGGAAUACCCGCUGAACUUAAGCAUAUCAAUAAGCGGAGGA